GGGGGUGACUGGUUUCGACUUUGGCUUUGCAAGUCAGGAGAAGCGGGUCGAGGACUGCGGACAUAACCUCGUUAAUCCUGUGACCGCGACCAAUAAGUGCCAAUAAGACGCACUCCGAAGUCAAGAGCCAGGGCAACCUGGCCCUCGCCGCCUAAGCAGCGAGUGGCUUCUGUCGGCCCGGGAGCGCCUCCGGCCCGGAUCCGGCAUCGCUAGGAGGCUCAACCGCGAGACCCGGCCACGGGGUCGAGCGGGAAAUCUAACAGUGGCUGAGCCCGUCGGCGUCUUGCCUGCGUGAUCGCCGGGGCUGAGAAAAGCACAGCAGGCUGCACCCGGAGAAGCCCUGUCUUGGAGUUGAAGGACGCGGGUUCGAUUCCCGCCACCUCCACCC
rfam:Planomonospora sphaerica DNA, contig: NODE_2_L658191_C34.